AGCAGUAAAUGUGGAGCCGUAGCGAAAGCGAGUCUGAAUAGGGCGUUUAGUAUUUGGUCGUAGACCCGAAACCAGGUGAUCUACCCUUGGUCAGGUUGAAGUUCAGGUAACACUGAAUGGAGGACCGAACCGACUUACGUUGAAAAGUGAGCGGAUGAACUGAGGGUAGCGGAGAAAUUCUAAUCGAACCUGGAGAUAGCUGGUUCUCUCCGAAAUAGCUUUAGGGCUAGCCUCAAGUGAUGAUUAUUGGAGGUAGAGCACUGUUUGGACGAGGGGCCCCUCUCGGGUUACCGAAUUCAGACAAACUCCGAAUGCCAAUUAAUUUAACUUGGGAGUCAGAACAUGGGUGAUAAGGUCCGUGUUCGAAAGGGAAACAGCCCAGACCACCAGCUAAGGUCCCAAAAUAUAUGUUAAGUGGAAAAGGAUGUGGCGUUGCCCAGACAACUAGGAUGUUGGCUUAGAAGCAGCCAUCAUUUAAAGAGUGCGUAAUAGCUCACUAGUCGAGUGACACUGCGCCGAAAAUGUACCGGGGCUAAACAUAUUACCGAAGCUGUGGAUUGUCCUUUGGACAAUGGUAGGAGAGCGUUCUAAGGGCGUUGAAGCAUGAUCGUAAGGACAUGUGGAGCGCUUAGAAGUGAGAAUGCCGGUGUGAGUAGCGAAAGACGGGUGAGAAUCCCGUCCACCGAUUGACUAAGGUUUCCAGAGGAAGGCUCGUCCGCUCUGGGUUA
rnacentral:rRNA from 1 species